rnacentral:rRNA from 1 species
ACAGAGGGUGCAAACGUUGUUCGGAAUUACUGGGCUUAAAGGGUUUGUAGGCGGCCACGUAAGUCAGGUGUGAAAUCCCUCGGCUCAACCGAGGAAUGGCGCUUGAUACUGCGUGGCUUGAGGGAGACAGGGGUAAGCGGAACUGAUGGUGGAGCGGUGAAAUGCGUUGAUAUCAUCAGGAACACCGGUGGCGAAAGCGGCUUACUGGGUCUCUUCUGACGCUGAGGAACGAAAGCUAGGGUAGCGAACGGGA